CUUAAGUUACUUUAGCUCAUAUAGGCAAGUGGCUAGUAGGCAUUUAGUUGGGCAUGUCAAAAUAAAGAGAGAAAUUUACUGUGGGGUUUUUUUUUAUGUUCACUUUAUAGUUCCGUCCACUAGUCGGUCAGCAAUAAGCGACACAGAUGCCCUUGCUAGGCCAUCAUACACCGUGCAAGUCUAAACUUCAGCAUAUUUGACUCUACGGCACUGAACUGCCAGCCAUCAACAUAUACAUUUCCUAUUGGCACAUCUGGCUUCUCGCUUGUAAAAGAGAUCAAGGACUCUACCUCGCAACAUGAUGACGAUAACAUCUCUACCACCAGUGGGUUUUCCUCUCGAGCAUCUGAUAAGGAUGUAGCAAUUUCAAAAAAAUGUCAGCAUGCCACCUCUUUGGUCUCCUGAAGUUGAUCGCUCAUAGUCUUUGUCCCAUAACUCCUCCAUGACCUCUAAUCUGUCUGCUUUCAGUUCUGUCACCAUCUCUUGGAAACACAUCUAUCUUAAACAGUCAGCUUGGGGAUUCUCCUUUUUAUCCUGGCAAAACAACAUAUGAAGGUGCAGCUGCAGUCCGUCCCUCACGUGUGCGCUCCACCCCAUAUCAAGUAAGACCAGAAAUUACUUUGCAUGUUGUGUUGAUAUUCAGCUUAUGAAAACCUGUGAUCUCCAAGGGUAGUCAUUAUGGGCAAAAUAGAUCUGUCCAAUUCCAAAGGUUUAUCCUAUAUUUUUACUAUACAAAGUUUAAUUCAUUACUUGCAAAGAAAUUUUGACUCCUCCCCCUCAAAUGCCUGCAUUUGCCAACACAUUAUUGUGACUGGUUUGAUAAGGCACAGUUAAUAGUUUCAAUUUUUAUUCCAUCAUUAAAGGAACAAAAAAAAAAUACAACUUGGUACAGACAUAAUAUCUUCCCUUCUAAAGAUACUUGGAUAAAGUGAAUUCUAUGACAUUAAAAUUAUGACUAAAAUUCUUGUUUUUUAUCAUUGUGUUGCAAAGUAACGACUUGAUAAUCUGGCAAUAGUAAAAUCUGAUGCUGUUCAAGUAUCAAAGCUAAUUCUGCUUGGUUUUUCAAUUUUAAUAAAAAGGGGCACUAAUGUUAACUUAUAAGAUUUUUAUGAGUGUGUGCUCUGUAAUCCCUCAUUAACAAUGCAAUGAUAAACAGAGAAUGAUACCUCACAGAUAAGGUCACAUACACUAAAAAAUAAUUUGUGUUAAAUGUGUUUUAUAUUGAAUUGUUUCAGUGAAUGAAAACAAGUAGGAUUAUGUGAACUCCUCAAAAGUAAAUGAGGCAGUGCAGUGUCGGACGGGGGGGGGGCCCACUGGGCUGCCACAUCAGGGGCCCGCACACACCUGACCUGGGCCCCAACUCCAGCCCCCCCCCCCUUUCCAGCCAAAAUCCUCCUUCAUUCACCCCAUUCUCCUCCAUCACCAGCAUGUACCUGCUUUUCUUCUAUUGGUUGGGGCAGGAGAGUUCAGGCACAGAGUUUCAAGCAGGGGGGGAGUGGAUCUGGGCUGGUGGAGCUCAGAAGGCCCAGUGUUACCCUGAGGUAGUGAUUAUAAAAAUCCUAUUUUUUUUUAUUUUUGCACACCGUAUGACUAAGGCUUUAACUACCUCUACAUAAAUACACUACUACUGUACCUAAGUAUUUAGAAAUUCUUUUGACGCAAGUAUUCUUUGACGCAAGACCACUAACACACACGGUACCAUAUGCUUGUUUAUUGUAUUUUUUAUUUAACAAAAUAAAAAUUUCACCUUUAAAAAAAAAAAAUAGCCAAUGAGGGGGAAAUACAUCAUUUUUAAUACUGCACAGCAAAUAAAUGCAGGUGUUCUACUUUUCGUUUAACAUUUUCAAUAAAUACCGUAUUUACUCAAAUAUAAGCCGACCCGAAUAUAAGUCGAGGUACCUAACUUUACCUACGAAAACUGGGACUCGAGUAUAAGCCUAGACACAACUAAGACCGUUAGACAAGCAAAAUGGUACUUUCAGCACUAGGCUGCCAGUUGGUGCCUGAGGCUCAACAAAGACUGACAGGCAGGCAUUUUACUUAUUUAAAAAGGCUUGGUAUUACAGGUUAUGAUACAGAAUCGACCAAACCUAUCCCUUUGUAAUCGGAUUGUAGGUCAAGUACACACCUAUCAUGAUCAAGUAGCUUCUUUCUCAUCAUGACCUGAGAAAUCCCAAAACGAGCUAGUUCAACUACAACUCCCAAUAUAUAGCACAGCAGCCAAGUUGCAGAUCAACAGCUGGAGAAGCAUUCCGAUCUCCCUGGUAAUAGGGCACCGUAUAGGGUACAGUGCUCCCAAUUUUGAAAUUAUACACAGCCCCCUCUCUCCCAGCAGCGCACAUUCUGCCAAAGCGACCCCCCCCCCCAGUGAUCACCUGGACUUCUUUGCAAAGUUGAUGGUGACAGAGAAUUGCCAAAUGGAACGCGUUACUGUGUGCAUUGUCCCACUGCCAUGUGUUCCAGCGCGAUUAUACCCCAGCCAUCAACUACAUCUAUGCAAACGUCUGACAAGAAAACGCAAAUCAUUCGGGCCGACUUUGCACAGGUCCAAUAAAGUCGGCUCUUCAAUUCGCCGCGGCUUAAGUGUUAACAAAGUGCUGAGCUUUGUGCAGCAGCCCCUAUUCCCUCGCACAAUUGUUAUAGAGGCACAAGCAGCAGACACUUUACCGCUCUAUGCACAAGCCAUUACCGUAUGUUCUCACAGUUACCGUCCAUGGUGUCAGAGCAGCAGGAGGCCUCCUGGGUGGACCCUUCAUUCCUUCUCUCUUUUUUCACAGCUCGCUUGCCAAAUGGGUUGCCCUUGGCAACCAGAGCAAGCUCUGAUGUGUGCACAAGCUGUCAGUGAAGGCUAGCACAGGGAGGGAAUAUAUCCACAUGUGUGUCUGAGGCAGACUGUUAGCACACGGCACUGCUAGGUUAUAAAAGAGUAACCCCGGCUUGCUGCUGCUGCACGGCGAAUCACUGGGAGUUCAUAGAGAGCCACGAGAAUUAUGCUAACAUUGGGUAGCAGAAGGGGAUGCACAGGGCCUUUAUUUAUGCGUGCGCAUGUUCCUUUUUCUGAUUAACCAAUAUAAAAAUUAGUUCCGCUAAAUAGUUUCUCAAUAACUUUGUUUAUACAGUAUGUGGUUUCCUGGACUUGGUUCUCCUGGAGGAACAGUGCAGGGGCACGGGACUCCUGUCAGUAGCCCAGCCACUCGUAUACUGACUCGAGUAUAAGCUGAGGUAGACUUUUUCAGCACAUUUUCGAUGCUGAAAAACUCUUGCUUAUACUCGAGUAUAUACGGUAAACUAGUGUCGCAGUUCUGACUCCUAUAUAAUUAGGUGACUAAUGAGAUUUUGUAUCGACACCUUUUUGCUUUACAGGUUAACUGCUGUUUAUCUCAUUUCAAGUUUUUCUCUUAUUUUUUAAUAUAAUUUGCAUUUGGGGGGCUGGAGGAGCCACCCCAGAGAAAUUCCUUCUUGGCCUGAGAGUCGUGACGUGACAGUUCAGUGCUUAUUGGUCCAAACAGAGUUUUAGUUGUUCCUUCAACCAAUGUAAACCUGACUUCAUCAACGACAUGAGCUGUGAUCAAGGAGUAUUAUUUAGCAGCCUUACAGAAGGUAAUAUGGGAGCUUUGCUGUGUUACCGCUAUAUCAAAAUGGCAAAUUUAUGACUUGUGGUUUCAGCUCCAUGCGAACUAUAUAUUUUUUUUUAUUGUCAGACAUAAGAUUGUGUGAGUCAAGGAUUUGGUAAUCAAAUGUCUUCUUGCGCCCCAUUCCUGUAUAAGCGACCACUAAAUCAACUGAAACAGAAUGAUAGUUGAAUAGGUGUAUGUCCAAACGUGAUUCAUUCAAAGAAUUUACAAGGCCGACUUCAUACUUGUGCUUGUCUUGCUGGCAAGAAGUCUCUUUUUGUGGGAAUAUUCAAAUUUGGUCCAUUUCUCCUGUAAAUGUUACUAUUGAUGAUUGUGAUACAGUAAUAAUUGGUCUUUUGGUCUAUAACAAAACCAAAAAAAACCCAGCCUUUCCUGUUUCAUCUGUCUGGUUAGAAAGUUCCAUGAAGCCUGUUAUUACAUAAGCAACCUAAAUACCAAAACAAUACAGACCAAACUGGUUUUCACUAAAAUGCACAUUAUUAUAUACUGCUAAUUGGGUCACCACAUAGAGCAGAAGUCUUAAUGGGGACCCGUCACCCCAAAAAAAUAAUCCAAAUCCUAUUUUAACAUGUUAGUCAAGCAAAAUGAACUUUAAUUACACUGUGAAUUAUUCGAAUCUUGUUUCCUUCAGUUUGUGAAUUCGUAAUUAUAGCAAGCAGGCAGGAGCCAUUUUGUGGACACUGUUAUUAAGACAAGCCUUGCAUAAUCUCUGAAUCUUGUUUGUGCACCAGAAUGGGGGACCCAAUGUUAGCCCUUUGGAAGAGACAUUUUUGUAGCCUUUAUCAGAAGUGUAGACCCCCCCCCCAAGAUAUCUCUAAUAAAAGUACACUUGUAUAGGCUCACUCAUCUCUACACCAACAGCAACUUCUGCAGCCUUUGUUCCAGCUCAUGUUCUGCACUCUAUGAUUUUCCUCCGCUUCCCAGGCAGCUUUUCAGAACCAAGAUGGAAAUCUAUUCCACUUUGCUGCUAUUCCCUGCUAUUUUGGCAGAAGGGAAAGAUUCUCAAAAGCUAAACAUCCCUUUAUUCCUUUUGAUUGCUUGAUCUCUGUCAAAUAUAUCAUCAAUCAUUAACUGGGUAUCUGUAUAAACUUGCACUGAAAACUCCAAUAUCUGUGACUGUAGCAUAAUUAUUAUGUGAAUAAGUAUAUGAUUUGUAUUGCUUUUAAAUGACAUGGAGAACUUUGUAUUUCAAUUGAGUAUUCCUUCAUUCCUGGGCAUGUCAAUUUCACACAAUUCUGGACCUUUUGAUAAGUAGAGACAAUUGAAACCAUUGAAAAGUAGAGGCUAAAAUAUUCUAGAUUCAGUGUUACUGCAUCAUAUUUUGUAUCAUUUGUCUCACGUUUAAGGCAAAUAUAAUGAUUUACUGAAACAAAGUAGUCAAAUAAGUGACUCACAUUUAAAGCAUUCUUCAACUAUUUGGGUCUUCAAAAAUAUAACAAUACUGGAGCCGUUACUGUGCAGUUUGAUCUAAUCAUUAAUAGUUAUCUGCAUUCCCCUGAAUAUUAAAUAUAGCAUAUAUACUUUAUUUGCAACUGUGAGGCAAAUUAUUAGACUUUCUCCAAAAAAUUGCUUUCAUUAAUAAGACGCAGCUUGAGUCAUUCUGCAUGAGCAACCCAGUCAGUGUACUCCUCACUCAUUUCUCAUUCUUUAAUGACUGAAUGGCUUUAAUGAAAGAAUCCCUUGUGCCCACUACCCAACCACAUCACUGCCGCUGAAUAAAACUCUACUGGCCCCUUGUAUGUGGUCUAGAAAGCUGCCCAGCAAAGUUGGUGGCUGCCAAAUUGGCCUGAUUAGGCUUCUUGGCUAUCCCAAGAAAACAAACUGGUCCUUUCUUCAUUUAGGCACACUGCUGAUAGUGUGUAAUGUGAUGUGAGCACUUUGUAGGAAUGACAGACAGCUGAAGAUUUAGGGCAAAACUCUACUUGGACUGUAUCCAGGGCUAUGAGUAGGUGCCCAUUUUGGGACGAACACAUUAGGCUAAUGCAUGUCCUAAUAAUGAUUUUAUUAAUUUUUAACAUUAUUUGGGCUACUUUUUCACUAACAGUGGAUCUCUUACCAUCUUUUGCUGUAGAUUUACUCAACAAAACUCUUGUUGGCUCAUGAAAUGGGCAGAUUUGGCUCAAAAAUAGAAACGUGAGUAAUCGAAUGACCUUUCCUGAGAAUGUCAUUGUUGUUUUCUAAACUUUAGCAGUGCAUCAAUAGAAAUGACAUGUAUGUACAGGUAAAAAAAGGUAUGGGUUUUGAAUUUUCACAACUGAAUUGUAUUUUCUUCAAGUAUAAUAAUAAACUAAUUUAUUUUAAGAUAAUCUGACUUUCUUUUUUUGUGCAAAGUUGGCUUUACGUUGGCAGUUUCAUUUGGUUGGAACUUAUGAAAUCUGUUAAGGAACCCAUGGGCCUGCAAGUCUGACAGACACACCCCAUUAGCAACCAGUGUCUCCAGAAUUAAAAUCUGGUUCUAAUUAGUGAAUGUUAAAGGCAACGAGUUUCAGAACCACUUAU